rnacentral:lncRNA from 1 species
GGCGCAGACACAAAGGCAAACAAUCCCAAACACAGGCUUUGCCCUCCUUGUACGUUGAGACAAAGGAAGCAGAAAUGAGCCUGGGAUCACAGUCUGCGCUGAGCAGCAUGGAGCAAACAGGGCGUCCCCUUCUCAGUGACAGAGGGACUUGGGCUGACCAACCGUCUUGGCUUCCCUGGGACUGUCCCAGCUCAGCACUGAAAAUCUCAUGCCGAUGAAAACCCCCGCAGGCCUGGGCAGAUGGGAACCUUGGUCACUCUUGCAGAAACUUGAGUCAGAAAUAAAGCAACUUCUCCCAGGCCAUGUGGAAAAGCCAUGUGUGAACCAGAGGAACAAGUACAACAGAGCCGCUGAGUACACCCCAACACAGAGGAGCCAGCGCUCACCGAGAGAUUUGCCAAGUGGAGUCCUUUUGAGACAUCCAAAUUUCACUGUCUUCAACUUAUUAAUGUGAAACAAAGAAUAACGUAUAUGUGUGUGUAAACACGAAUAGUAACAGCUUAUAUUUGUAAACAAUGUGCCGUGCGCCCAGCACUACAUUAAGCAGUCUCCAUGCAGCACCUCCAUUAAUCCUGGGGAGCACUGUACCCACUUCAAGAGGCCUUUAGAAGAGCAAGUAACAAAAACUGGUGGAAAAAAAGCACACAUUCAACAGGAAGCAACAUCUAGAGACCUUUCUGCCUUCCAGGAUACAAAAAGAAAACAGUUCAUAAACAACUUACAUCUAAACCAGUAAUGUUGUCUCCCUGGCUCAUAGGAGCUGAAGAAGAAUUCCAGUUACUGUAGUAAGAAUAUAAGGAUGUGGACUGGUUUGAGGAUGCUUGAGGCAUGACUAUAGCAAGUACUGCGCAUACAUAUGUGGACAUCGUAAGACACACUCUCUGCUUCCCCAGGCGAAAUCUGUAAUGCUUUGUUUAUUCAUGUUCUAUUCUGCGUUUCCAUGGCACUUUGUUCUUUGUGGUUUUUAGGGUAUCUUUCUCCCUCUCUGCUCAGUGAACUGAGCUGCCUGGACAGGCCUUGAGUUUUCUUAUUCGAUUGUUUUUUGUGUGUGUAUGUUUUGCCUUAGCUCCCUCACUAGUAUAGUCAAGGAGCUUUUCAUGCUUUGAGCCAUUUGUGGCAUUUCAGGAAUUACCUUCAUAGCUUUUGUCCAUUUUCUACUGGCUUGUCUUUUUCAAUGUUUUUAUAGGCAUUUUUUAAAAAACACAGUGUGGAUGUCAUUUGGGAUAGCAGUACUAAUAGUAGCUAAAACUUACUGAAAGCUACUGUGUGCCAGGCAGUCUGCUGAGCACUUUACAUGCUGCCUUUCAUUUUUACACUCAUUUAGGAAACUGAGUCACAGAGAGGCGAGAUAACUUGCCAGAGAUUCAAGCACACUCCAGACACAUCCCUACACCAAUCAGACCUCCUAGCCACCCAGAAACUCUCCUCUGCUCGGAGGCUUCUCUGCUUCCUCCACCUGCCCCUUCGCCUCACUGCCUCCUUUCAAAAUCUGCGGCAUGUAUUUUAGGGAUACUCGUAUCCAUUUUCAGGAAUUCCAUGAUCUACACACAGAUGACACCAAAAUCGGAACAGCAAUGUCCACCCUUCUCCCGAGCCCUAGGUCGGUGCCUCUGUCCACCUGUGUCUCCUGAAACUUCAACACAGACUUCAAAUGGAGUGGCAGAAAACCAGAUUCCUUAGGGAAAGGAAGGUCUCCCAGACGGCAGGAGCGGCAGGCCUUAGGGGCAGCCGCAGGGGCUCGGGAGUCUGAACAUACCCGGUUUGAAUUCAGACUCUGGCACGCCCCAUGCGAUCAUAACAUAGUGCUGCACGUCUCAAGCCACCUAUAAAAACGGGGACAAUAACAAUAUCUGCCUCGGGGUUAAUGGAUUAGAUGUGUCGGUCCAUAGACGUUGCUGGCCACAUAGUUAAGUGGUGCGUUCACUCACUGGGCAUUGAUGGAGCGCCUACUACGUGCCAGGCCUGUUUUACGCGCCGGGGGCCCAGAGGCGCCCAGGUCAGACAAAGUGUAAACGAUUCCGACCAGAGCCCUUCAAUCUGCAUUCCGCUUCGCAGGAAACUCUCCUCCUUUUAUGAUUUUCAGCCGGACUGCCUUCCCUGUUGUUAGUUUGUAACUUUCGCUCCGGCCCCCGCAGCCUCGCGCCUGCCUUCCCUCCACUGUCCUCAGCCAAGGUGUAGUAAAGCGUCUCCGAACGCGGCGCGACCCUCGCCCACGCCCGCUCGCGGGGGGA